AUCCAAUAGGAUUAUAGAGAAUUUACAAUUAAAUAUUAACAAUCAUAAUCAAACAUUAAGCAAGCUCAAUUAAAUUUUAUUGAAGUUAUAAAAGAAAUACAAGGAAUUCCUAAAGAAAUAUAAAAGAAUAUUAAAGAAAACUUAGUCAAACCCUAACAAAAAUCUAAUAGAACCUUAAAUUCUAACCAAAUCCUAAUCCUAAUCUAACCUUAAUCAAAUCCUAGACAAAUCCUAAAUUCUAAACCAAAUCCUAAUCAAAUCUUAAUCAAAUCCUAAACCUUAAACCAAUCCAUAAUCAAAUCCUAAACCAAAUCCUAAAUCCUAAUCCAAAUCCUAAAUCCUAAAUCAAAUCCUAAACCAAAUCCUAAAUUCUAAAUCCUAAUCCAAAUCCUAAACCAUAUCCUAAUCCUAACAAACCCUAAAUCCUAAACCAAA
rnacentral:lncRNA from 1 species